CAAAAAAUAGUUUAUGGAGAAUAUUAAUUUUGGAAAUUAGAGGUUGUAUUAUUAUUUAUAUUGACUAAAUAUAAAUAUGUUUUAUAUUUUUUGA
rnacentral:tRNA from 1 species